CUACGGGUGGCACCAGUGGGGAAUAUUGCACGAUGGAGGAAACUCUGAUGCAGCAACGCCGCGUGGAGGAUGACACUUUUCGGAGCGUAAACUCCUUUUAUAUAGGAAGAAGAUGACGGUACUAUAUGAAUAAGCGCCGGCUAACUCCGUGCCAGCAGCCGCGGUAAUACGGAGGGCGCAAGCGUUACUCGGAAUCACUGGGCGUAAAGAGCGUGUAGGCGGAUUAAAAGGUCAGAAGUGAAAUCCUACAGCUUAACUAUAGAACUGCUUCUGAAACUCUUAAUCUAGAAUAUGGGAGAGGUAGAUGGAAUUUCUGGUGUAGGGGUAAAAUCCGUAGAGAUCAGAAGGAAUACCGAUUGCGAAGGCGAUCUACUAGAACAUUAUUGACGCUGAGACGCGAAAGCGUGGGGAGCAAACAGGAUUAGAUACCCUUGUAGUC
rnacentral:rRNA from 1 species